AUUGAACGCUGGCGGCAGGCUUAACACAUGCAAGUCGAGCGGUAACAGAGAGAAGCUUGCUUCUCUGCUGACGAGCGGCGGACGGGUGAGUAAUGCCUAGGAAUCUGCCUAGUAGUGGGGGAUAACUUGCCGAAAGGUAAGCUAAUACCGCAUACGUCCUACGGGAGAAAGGAGGGGACCUUCGGGCCUUUCGCUAUUAGAUGAGCCUAGGUCGGAUUAGUUAGUUGGUGAGGUAAUGGCUCACCAAGACCGCGAUCCGUAACUGGUCAGAGAGGAUGAUCAGUCACACUGGAACUGAGACACGGUCCAGACUCCUACGGGAGGCAGCAGUGGGGAAUAUUGGACAAUGGGGGGAACCCUGAUCCAGCCAUGCCGCGUGUGUGAAGAAGGUCUUAGGAUUGUAAAGCACUUUAAGUUGGGAGGAAGAGCAGUUAACUAAUAUUUGACUGUUUUGACGUUACCGACAGAAUAAGCACCGGCUAACUUCGUGCCAGCCGCCGCGGUAU
rnacentral:rRNA from 1 species